UGGGUGGCUCAGUCAGUUGAGCAUCUGACUUCGGCUCAGGUCAUGAUCCCAGGGUCCUGGGAUCAAGCCCCAGCUCA
rnacentral:tRNA from 1 species